rnacentral:lncRNA from 1 species
UAUAUCUAAAAUUAUCUAUACACUAUACAGAUACGUUAGGUUCUGCAGAUGUACAUGGGAGAAAUUUGUGUGAGAAAAAAAAUAUAUAUAUAUUUUUGUUGGGUAGUCUUAUUUUUCGUUGAAAAAUUUUUUUUGUAUAAAUUUUCUUUUUUUAAAAUAUAUAUAUUUAUAUAUAUUUGUUUUCCUUUCUACCCCUUUUUUUUUAGUUAUUAUUAUUUUUUUUUUUUAAACUUAAGACACUGGAAUAAAAUAAGUAUAACGAAGGACGAAGAAUUAAAAAUCCAGGUUCGAAAUGGAAAAAAAGAAACAGUCGCAGUGAUUAAGACUUCAAUGUAGAAGUGAAAGUGGGUGAAGAUGGUGGUGAUGGUGGUGGUGGUGAUGAUGGUGGUGGUGGUGGGGUGGUGGUGGUGAUGACGGCGACGUCGGGGGGAAGAAAUAAGAUGAAAUGCCAGAAGAUAAUUCUUUCUGAGUGAUGGAUGACUAGGAAACUAAAAUGGUGGUAGUAGUAGUAGUAGUAGUAGUAGUAGUAGUAGUAGAAGUAGUAGUAGUAUAGUAGUAGUAGAAGUAGUAGUAGUAGUAGUAGUAGUAGUAGUAGUAGUAGUAGUAGUACAACAACAACAACAAAGAGUAAGAAGUAGAGAGGGAAAGAGAGAAGAGAGAAAGAAAGGCAGAAUGGUGUUGGUGAUGAGAAUGCUGGCGAGAUUAUGAUAAACAAAGGUUAAAGAACGAAAGAGGAGCGAAAAGAAAUAAUGUUGUUACGAAGAAAGUUGAAAAAUAAAUAGAAUGACAGAGAAGGAUGAAAGAAUAAAAAUAAUAAUUUGGGGAAGGAAGAAGGAAACGAAGACAAGAUGACUAACGGAGAAAGAAUAGUAAUGACGAUAACUUAAUAACAGAAGCAGAAGUAAAAAGUGGGAGAAAUUAGAUGAUAUUAAAUUGAUGAAAAAGUGAAUAAAAGGAGGUAGACGAAAAUGUAAAGGAAAAGAAUAAAGUAGAUAGAAGUUAGGAAAGUAAGAACGAAAGGUAGACGAAGAGAUAGAAGAAAUUGAUGAAAGGACAAAAACCGUGGAUGAGAGACGAAAAUAGGUCAAAGAAAGAGGAAAUUAGACGAAGGAAAAUAUAUGCGGGUAAAAGGAGAAAGAAUUGGGCAAAAUAAGGAAGUAGAUGAAAUGAGAAGAAAUAACAAAAAAAAGAAGAAAGUAGACAAAAGAAGAAGAAAAUAGAAGAAAGAGGAAAGGAAAUGAAAGAAGUGGGAAUAACAUGCGAGGAGAAAGUAGACGAAAGAAAAAGAAAGUAGAUGAAAGAGAAAAACUUCAGAAGAAAGACGAUGAAAAAAAAUGUAGAUGAAAGAAGAAAGUAGCCAACCGUAGGAGAAAGUAAACAAAAUGAGAUGUAAAAAAAAAAGAAAGAAAAGUAGAAGACGAAAGUGGGGUGAAAGGUGGAGAAAGUAGGUGAAAUAAACAGGAGACAACGGAAGAAUGUUGGUGAGAACUAGAUAACAGCAGAUGAAAGAAUAAAAGGUGAACGACAGAAUGAAGAAUUAGUCAAAAAGAAGUAAGUGGACAGAAGCUGAAGUGGAUGAAUGAUUUGUUUUUUUAAAAGAUGAAAGAAGGGGGUAAUUGAAAGAAAGAAGUAGCUGUGUGAAAUUAGGGUCGGUUAGAUGAAAGUAUGGAGGGAGAAGAAGAAGAAAGAAGUGAAAGAAAGAUGAAGUAAGUAAUUUAAUGAAGGACGAACAAGUAGUUAAAAGAAGAGAAAAAUAAAUGAAAGAACAGGGUGAAUUUAAAAAAGCAUAAACACUUGGAAAGAUAGAGUUAAGUCUAAAGAAUAUGGAUGAAAACUAAAGAAGCUAGUUGACAGAGAAAGUUGAUGAAAGAUGAAACAAAAAGCCAAAAGAUGCAAGCCCUUGGCGAAAGAAUAGAUAAAAAAAGAAAUGAAACAAAAGAAGAGAGCAG